CGAUACUUGGUGUGAAUUGCAGAAUUCAGUGAAUCAUCGAAUCUUUGAACGCACCUUGCGCCCUUUGGUAUUCCGAGGGGCAUGCCUGUUUGAGUGUCAUUAAAUACCAUCAACCCUCUUUUGACUUCGGUCUCGAGAGUGGCUUGGAAGUGGAGGUCUGCUGGAGCCUAACGGAGCCAGCUCCUCUUAAAUGUAUUAGCGGAUUUCCCUUGCGGGAUCGCGUCUCCGAUGUGAUAAUUUCUACGUCGUUGACCAUCUCGGGGCUGACCUAGUCAGUUUCAAUAGGAGUCUGCUUCUAACCGUCUCUUGACUGAGACUAGCGACUUGUGCGCUAACUUUUGACUUGACCUCAAAUCAGGUAGGACUACCCGCUGAACUUAAGCAUAUCAAUAAGCGGAGGAA
rnacentral:rRNA from 1 species